rnacentral:rRNA from 1 species
UACGUAGGGGGCAAGCGUUGUCCGGAAUCAUUGGGCGUAAAGCGCGUGUAGGCGGCCCGGUAAGUCCGCUGUGAAAGUCGGGGGCUCAACCCUCGGAUGCCGGUGGAUACUGUCGGGCUAGAGGACGGUAGAGGCGAGUGGAAUUCCCGGUGUAGCGGUGAAAUGCGCAGAUAGUCGGGAGGAACACCAGUAGCGAAGGCGGCUCGCUGGGCCGUUCCUGACGCUGAGACGCGAAAGCUAGGGGAGCGAACAGG